rnacentral:rRNA from 1 species
UACAGAGGGUGCGAGCGUUGUCCGGAAUCACUGGGCGUAAAGGGCGCGUAGGCGGUCUCUUAAGCGUGUGGUGAAAGCCCGGGGCUCAACUCCGGGUCGGCCGUGCGAACUGAGGGACUGGAGCUUGUCAGAGGCAGGCGGAAUUCCGGGUGUAGCGGUGGAAUGCGUAGAGAUCCGGAAGAACACCGGUGGCGAAGGCGGCCUGCUGGGACAGUGCUGACGCUGAGGCGCGACAGCGUGGGGAGCAAACAGG